rnacentral:siRNA from 1 species
UGUCGUUGGCUAAGUCCGUUC